rnacentral:lncRNA from 1 species
GCUUGGGAUCAGUGGCACAAUUUUUUUGCACCUUUUUCUUCUUUCUUCUCUUAGAGGAUUAACGACCUGCAGACGAACCUUCCACUACAUGCACCGGCUCCUUCUAAAGCUGAUGGUCCUUCUCGAACAUCUGCAGUAAUCCUAGCAAAUUAUGGUAGUUCACCAUAGGUUUGGUCAUUCUAUAAUGACUCAAGAAGGAUAAGUAGGAUUUCAGUAGCG